rnacentral:lncRNA from 1 species
GACCUCCUAUCGGGCUCCCCGUAAAAUCGGGCUUCCCCAGCGGACGAUCUUCGGAUGAGCCUCCACAUCAGAUAAAUUCCAGACGGACUCCCCUAGCGAUCGAACUUCCCUAGACUCUGCCAACAGAAAAUCUCCAUCCGAGCUUCUGUGGCAGGCGACCCCCACCUGAAACGUCAGCGACCUCGGGACAUCCGAGCCUCUCCCAAAACGA